CGGGAAUUUUGGGCAAUGGGCGAAAGCCUGACCCAGCAACGCCGCGUGAGGGAUGAAGUAUUUCGGUAUGUAAACCUCGAAAGAAUGGGAAGAAUAAAUGACGGUACCAUUUAUAAGCUCCGGCUAACUACGUGCCAGCAGCCGUGGUAAUACGUAGGGAGCAAGCGUUGUUCGGAUUUACUGGGCGUAAAGGGCGCGUAGGCGGCGCGGUAAGUCACUUGUGAAAUCUCUGAGCUUAACUCAGAACGGCCAAGUGAUACUGCUGUGCUAGAGUGCGGAAGAGGCAACCGGAAUUCUUGGUGUAGCGGUGAAAUGCGUAGAUAUCAAGAGGAACACCUGAGGCGAAGGCGGGUUGCUGGGCCGACACUGACGCUGAUGCGCGAAAGCCAGGGG
rnacentral:rRNA from 1 species